UACAGAGGUCUCAAGCGUUGUUCGGAUUCAUUGGGCGUAAAGGGUGCGUAGGCGGCGCGGUAAGUCGGGUGUGAAAUCUCGGAGCUUAACUCCGAAACUGCAUUCGAUACUGCCGUGCUUGAGGACUGGAGAGGAGACUGGAAUUUACGGUGUAGCGGUGAAAUGCGUAGAUAUCGGAAGGAACGCCGGUGGCGAAAGCGGCGUGCUGGACCCCUCCUGACGCUGAGGCGCGAAAGCCAGGGGAGCGAACGGG
rnacentral:rRNA from 1 species